UUCGCCUUCAUGAAGCCGGAAUUGCUAGUAAUGGCAGGUCAGCAUACUGCCGUGAAUACGUUCCCGGGCCUUGUACACACCGCCCGUCACACCAUGAGAGUUGGGGAUACCCGAAGCCUGUGAGCUAACAGUAAUGGAGCAGCAGUCGAAGGUAGAAUCAAUGAUUGGGGUGAAGUCGUAACAAGGUAUC
rnacentral:rRNA from 1 species